GGGCCCGCACAAGCGGUGGAGUAUGUGGUUUAAUUCGAUGAUACGCGAGGAACCUUACCAGGGUUUAAAUGCAGAACGACAGGGGUGGAAACACCCCCUUCUUCGGACGGACUGCAAGGUGCUGCAUGGUUGUCGUCAGCUCGUGCUGUGAAGUGUCGGGUUAAGUCCUAUAACGAGCGCAACCCCCCAUCGUUAGUUGCCAACGAGUAAUGUCGGGAACUCUAACGAAACUGCCGGUGCAAACCGUGAGGAAGGUGGGGAUGACGUCAAAUCAUCACGGCCCUUACGUCCUGGGCUACACACGUACUACAAUGCUACGGACAAAGGGCUGCAAGUUCGCGAGGACAAGCAAAUCCCAUAAACCGUGGCUCAGUUCAGAUCGUAGGCUGCAACUCGCCUACGUGAAGGCGGAAUCGCUAGUAAUCGCAGGU
rnacentral:rRNA from 1 species